rnacentral:lncRNA from 1 species
GGACAUGCAUCUUGGCUAAAUAAAUAGGACUUCUGAAAAACUCUGAUAUUGGAGAGGAUGUGGCUUUCAGUGCCAAAAAGUCCCAACAUACUCUUAGCCAUUUAUUUGUGAGUAGUGUUUUAUUAUUCUCCUAGGGACUAUGACAUGCACACUAAGAAAGCCUAGAGAUGGGGCUGAGGAUGUGGCUCAGUGGUAGAGCAUUUUCCUGGCAUGUGUGAGGUCCUAGGUUGAAUCCUCAGGACUGCAAAAAUUAAUAAUAACAAUAAUAAUAAUAAAAUAAAGGGUGUGGGGAUGUAGCUCAGUGAUAGAGUGCUCCUAGGUUUAAAGCCUAACACAAUCCCUAGCACCUUGGCCUAUAAUGUCUAAUCCUAAGACGUACAAAGACAAGCAUGGGCCUAUGUCAAAGCACUUGAAGCUUUCCAUCGAAUGCUCUAGUCUACUCUGUAUUGGAUCUUCCCAAGUGAUCCUUUAUCUAACUCCAUCUCUGGGAAAAUCUGGAUUAAAAAAAAAACAUCUAAUAGCCAUUUCUGGGUCUCAUGCUUAAUGAGCACUUCAUAGAUAUUAUCUGAUUUAAUAUAGCAGUUCUUUGAGGUAUGAAUUAUUGUAUUGCCAGAUUAUAGAUGAGGAAUUUGCUCAGUCACAUAGGUAUAAAGGCAGAUUUAGAACUCGGACCCAGUGUUGUUGAAGUCAUAUGUGGCCCUAACCACUUUUUCCCUACUGCCAAGACCCACAAAGAACACCCACAUCAUUCACUCUCACCCAAAAGCAGCCACAAUCCUGACUCCCAAAGGAUUCUUGCAGAUGUUAACUUUCCUAGGUCGAUGCUUUCAGGAGAGUGUUCC